rnacentral:rRNA from 1 species
AUGGCGCUUGUUCCUCUCCUCCUCUCGCUGCUCCUCGUCUCCUGCGCCGCGCAGUCGCCGGCCUCGUCGCCGUCCGCGUCCAAGGCUGCUCCGGUCGGCGCCUUCCCGCCGCAGACAUUCGCCGCGGCGCCGACCACGGUCAAAUCACCGCCGCAGGCCUCCUCGCCGUCGCAGGUGUCUGCAGCGCCGCCGACGACCUCGGCCGCCUCGCCGUCACAGGUGUCUGCGGCACCGCCGACGUCCUCGGCCGCCUCGCCGUCACAGAUGUCUGCAGCACCGCCGACGACCGUCGCUGCCUCGGCGCCACAGGUGUCUGCCGCGCCACCGACUGUCGCUGCCUCAGCGCCGCAGGCUGCUGCGGCAGCUCCGCCGACAACGGCCGCCUCGCCGCAGCUUGCUGCCGCGUCAGCUCCGACAAAGAGCUUCGCCGCUGCACCACUCACCGCCACGUCGCCUGCGGCGUCCACUGUUGCCUCUCCGCCAUUCACUGCCACGUCACCUCCACCUGCCACCUCCUCGCCACCCGUCUCUGCACCCCCUCUCGCAGUGACCGCAGCGCCUCCGGCGAUGCCACCUACCGUCGCCGCGCCGCCUCCGGCCCCUGUGGCCGCACCCAUGGCCACACCACCAGCCACCGCGCCUCCCGCAAUGGCUCCGUCUCCCCUGCUCAUGGCUCCCGUGGCAUCGCCCAUCGUCCCGCCAGCGACGGCCCCCGCACCGGCGCCCAUGUCACCGGCACCGGCCGCCCACCAUGGCGCCCGAGCUGUCGCCCAUCAUGGCCCCUUCGCUGUCCCCGCUCGGCUCGGCGGGCCCCGCGUUCGCGCCCGUGGCAGAGGAGGACUCGGCGGCCGGGAGCGCGCGCGCCGGCGUCGCCGCGCUCGUGGCCAUGGCGGCUGCAGGGCUCGUGGUCUUGUUUUAAUUGAGCAGAGCAGGGCUGGUUUACUUUGGUGA